rnacentral:rRNA from 1 species
UACAGAGGUCUCAAGCGCUGUUCGGAAUUACUGGGCGUAAAGGGUGCGCAGGCCGCGCGGGCAGUCAAAUGUGUAAUUCAGGGGCUCAACCCCUGCACUGCGCUUGAUACUUCCGCGCUCGAGCUUUGGAAAGGAGUCUGGAAUUCUCGGUGUAGCAGUGAAAUGCGUGGAUAUCGAGAAGAACACUUAGGGCGAAAGCAAGACUCUGGACAAAUGCUGACGCUCAUGCACGAAGGCUAGGGUAGCGAACGGG